rnacentral:rRNA from 1 species
UACGGAAGGUCCGGGCGUUAUUCGGAUUUAUUGGGUUUAAAGGGAGCGUAGGCCGGAGAUUAAGCGUGUUGUGAAAUGUAGACGCUCAACGUCUGCACUGCAGCGCGAACUGGUUUCCUUGAGUACGCACAAAGUGGGCGGAAUUCGUGGUGUAGCGGUGAAAUGCUUAGAUAUCACGAAGAACUCCGAUUGCGAAGGCAGCUCACUGGAGCGCAACUGACGCUGAAGCUCGAAAGUGCGGGUAUCGAACAGG